CAGCAGCAGCCGCGGUAAUACGAAGGGUGCAAGCGUUAAUCGGAACUACUGGGCGUAAAGCGUGCGUAGGCGGUUUGUUAAGUCUGCUGUGAAAUCCCCGGGCUCAACCUGGGAAUGGCAGUGGAUACUGGCAAGCUAGAGUGUGUCAGAGGAUGGUGGAAUUCCCGGUGUAGCGGUGAAAUGCGUAGAGAUCGGGAGGAACAUCAGUGGCGAAGGCGGCCAUCUGGGACAACACUGACGCUGAGGCACGAAAGCGUGGGGAGCAAACAGGAUUAGAUACCCCUGUAGUCCCUGUCUCUUAUAA
rnacentral:rRNA from 1 species